rnacentral:rRNA from 1 species
UACGCUCGCCUUAGUUGGCCAAGUGGAUUAGCUAGUUGGUGAGGUAAUGGCUCACCAAGGCGACGAUCCCUAGCUGGUUUGAGAGGAUGAUCAGCCACACUGGGACUGAGACACGGCCCAGACUCCUACGGGAGGCAGCAGUAGGGGAUAUUGCACAAUGGGCGNAAGCCUGAUGCAGCCAUGCNGCGUGUGUGAAGAAGGCCUUCGGGUUGUAAAGCACUUUCAGUCAGGAGGAAAGGUUAGUAGUUAAUACCUGCUAGCUGUGACGUUACUGACAGAAGAAGCACCGC